rnacentral:rRNA from 1 species
CACGUAGGCACCAAGCGUUAUCCGGAUUUAUUGGGCGUAAAGAGCUCGUAGGCGGUUCGGUAAGUCGGGUGUGAAAACUCUGGGCUCAACCCAGAGAGGCCACCCGAUACUGCUGUGGCUAGAGUGCGGUAGGGGAGCGGGGAAUUCCUGGUGUAGCGGUGAAAUGCGCAGAUAUCAGGAGGAACACCAGCGGCGAAGGCGCCGCUCUGGGCCGUAACUGACGCUGAGGAGCGAAAGCAUGGGUAGCAAACAGG